UAUCGGAUCUUCAGGGUUUACUAGAGAAGAGAAAAAGCAGGAAUCGUUGCACUGGUCCCAGUCCGACUGACCUUCAAUUGGCCUCAGACCAGCAUUUCGCAAAGUUUUAAAGAUGCUGGAGUUACAUCGGGAUCUGGUUUAACACGUUAAAUUCUCGCUCAGAUUUGCAGCGGGGCCUGAGGGACUGCCUUUCCUAGACGACAGAAGGAGAGGCCACACUGUUCAUCCACACACUUGGGGAGCAAGAGUCUCAACCUGAGCCAUGGUUGGCCUGCCAAGUCUUCUCCUUAGUUUUCAAAGACGGCCAUUAAAAUUCCAGCCAGGAGGGAGUUUGGAAAUGCCCUGCCCUUUGAAUGGAAAGAGGCGCUCUGUGACUGGGCUGCUCUGAGGCUCAUCACCAUUGCAGAUCCUCCCACACCCUGAAUCUGCAGUUUGGCAUAUGUGUCCAUACCACCCAUCCCAUCAGGAGUCACAUCCAAUGGCCAUCAUCGCAUCCCAGCUUCCCUCCCAGGGAGCUCUGGUAAGGUUAGGGCAAAGGCGAGGGAGGCAGCCGCAGAGGCCAGAAGAGACCCUCCACUCCCCACCCGCCAUCUGGCCCUACUCCCAUCCUGCCGAGCCCAGCGCUGAGAAGAGAAGGCCUGGCUGGAAUGGGUGAGCUCUACUCCUGCAUACAGGACAGGAAACAGCCUGCUCAGGCCACCCUUGGAUGCCGAUCAGCUUCAUCUCAGGCAAGAAAUACCAACCUCACAGCCCCACCACAACCUUCCCCGGGAUCCCUUCCCCUUCUCCACAGUGCUUCAGGCCAGAAUUCAGGGAGAGCACUGAAAUCUAAGCUCUCAUCACCAGAUGUUGCCUCCGCUUGCUGCUCUCAACGACCUCUGGCCUGCUAGAGCUCUUCAUAAAGCCAUGUGUGCUGCCUGUCCAGGGUGAAGGGCACCGCUAUCAGUGACUCAAAACUGGAUGAGAAGUUUCUCCACUGGCCUAGAGCUCUGAUUCCCGGAUGCGGCCUCCCCGUGGCCUCUAACCUCCAUUGGCCUCUUCUGCAUAUAUCCACCUCUCUUCCUAGGCAUGCUUCCUCUAGCUCAGUCCCUUGUUCACAGGAGUCACCCAGCCCAGGGAUCACCAUGUCUGCCGGCCUCACUCUCAUCCUGCUUGGCUCCUGCCCUGCCCUACCUGCUCAGGAAGCCUCCCUCCCCGGACAUCUCCUUCCCCAAGGACUGUUCUCAGUAGGCCCCCCUGUUCCAUGCCAUGUAGUUCCCUAAACUGUUGCUUACAUUUUUACCUCCUUUCUUUGAAAGGAAGCAUUUCAUCCACCAAGGAAUUCUAAUCCUAAGGAGGUCAGGGUGUGGCAGGCGAUGGAGCAUUUGAUCAGAUGCUCAAGACUCUAGGCUCGAUCCCCAGCACCACAAACCUUGAUCGAUAGAAACAGACAGGGAGAGGACUCAGUGGGGAACGGCACUUGCCACCAAACCCGACUACUUGAGGUCCAUCCCUCGGGCCUACAUAGUGUGUGGUGCCAUUGUCCGGAAAUGCCCUGACGCUGCUGGACACCACACCGGAAGUGCGCUCUUCUGUGCCCGAAGAUUCGAGCGCUGUAGGUCUCCAGACGGAAAAGGGUGAAGUUGGGGGUACCAAGAUCCGCUUCCCUCAGGAACGUCAGGUUCUGGGCACAGGAUGCGGUCCAUGCCACAGGAUUUUCAGUCCGGUUGGAGAUGUCGUAGAGAAAAGA